UACAGAGGGGGCAAGCGUUGUUCGGAAUUACUGGGCGUAAAGGGCUCGUAGGCGGCCAACUAAGUCGGACGUGAAAUCCCCAGGCUCAACCUGGGAACUGCGUCCGAUACUGGAUGGCUUGAAUCCGGGAGAGGGAUGCAGAAUUCCAGGUGUAGCGGUGAAAUGCGUAGAUAUCUGGAGGAGUACCGGUGGCGAAGGCGGCAUCCUGGACCGGCAUUGACGCUGAGGAGCGAAAGCCAGGGGAGCAAACGGG
rnacentral:rRNA from 1 species